rnacentral:tRNA from 1 species
AGAUGAAGUGCCUGAAAAAAGGAGUAUCUCGAUAAGAUAAAACAUGUAGAAAUCUACCGCAUCUA